rnacentral:misc_RNA from 1 species
GAUGAAGAACGUAGCGAAAUGCGAUAAGUAGUGUGAAUUGCAGAAUUCAGUGAAUCAUCGAAUCUUUGAACGCACAUUGCGCCCCUUGGUAUCCCGAGGGGCAUGCCUGUCCGAGCGUCAUUUCAACCCUCAAGCACUGCUUGGCGUUGGCGGAUUGCGUGCCCUCGCGGCGCCGCAACCGCCCAAAUACAGUGGCGGUCCCGCUGCGGCUCCCUUUGCGUAGUAACUCACCUCGCACUGGACCGGGCGGCGGCCUGCCGUAAAACCCCAACUCACGAAAUGUUGACCUCGGAUCAGGUAGGAAUACCCGCUGAACUUAAGCAUAUCAAUAAGCGGAGGA